AUAUGAAUAGCCGAGUAUUGAUUUCUAAUCUGCUGUUCCUAGACCUGCUCUUAUUAGAGAAGCACUGAGCGGUAAAACACCACAGCAACAUGGAGGUCUCUCAGCUGGUGCAUCUUUCUCCAGGGGGGGCUGUACCAAAAUUCGCAGACACCUGUCUGGAUCCAUGCUGGGUCUGAUCCUGACGUUUGAAAAAUGAGGCAGGGGAAGCAAAAUACUAAUAAUAUUUGCCGGCCGUACUGCUUUUUACACUGAUCCACAUUAUAAUGUAAAAUACACUUAUCAUGCUGAAAUUGUCCUGGUUAUUUUUGCUUUUUCACAUUUGAAUGCUAAUGACAUAUGCCUCACACUUUGGGGAUUCAUAAUAUGCAGUGAGUGGUGAAUUAGUUGAAUAAAAAGCUGUUAUAUGAAAA